rfam:Salmo salar isolate Sally breed double haploid chromosome ssa27, whole genome shotgun sequence.
UGCAUUCACUACUGUAAGUCGCUCUGGAUAAGAGCUUCUGCUAAAUGAUGUAAA